CUCUCGGUGGCCAAGCUGGCUAAGGCGCGAGACUGUAAUAGAUAGUUGUAAUCUUGAGAUCGGGUGUUCGACUCACCCCCGGGAGA
rnacentral:tRNA from 1 species